CACUCCGGUGGCCUAGUGGUUAGAGCAUCUGCCUCGAGUGCAGGUAGCCGUCGGUUCAAUCCCCGGUCGAGUCA